AGAGUUUGAUUAUGGCUCAGAAGCAUGCAGUGCAGCGUGCUUACACUGCAAGUCGUACGGUGAAGCCGAGCUUGCUGGGUGGAUCAGUGGCGAACGGGUGAGUAACACGUGAGCAACCUGCCCUCCACUUCGGGAUAAGCCUUGGAAACGGGGUCUAAUACCGGAUAUGAGCGCUCAUCGCAUGGUGGGUGUUGGAAAGUUUUUCCGUGGGGGAUGGGCUCGCGGCCUAUCUGCUUGUUGGUGGGGUGAUGGCCUACCAAGGCUUCUACGGGGAGCCGGGCUGAAAGGGCGACCGGCCACGCAGGGACUGACACACGGUCCACACUCCUACGGGAGGCAGCACUAGGGAAUAUUGCACAAUGGGCGCAGAGCUCUGAUGCAGCGACGCCACGUGAGGGAUGACGGCCUUCCGGUUGUAAACCUCUUUCACCACGGAAGAAACUCUUGUGACGGUACCUGCAGAAUAAUCGCCGGCUACCUACGUGCCAACAGCCGCGGUAAUACUUAGGGCGUCUUCGUUGUCCGGAAUUAUUGGGCGUACAGAGCUCGUAGGCGGUCUGUCGCGUCUGGUGUGAAACCCGACGCUCACCUCGGCUUGCCUCGCGUACGGCCAACUAUGUGCGGAGGGGAUACUGGCUUCUGGUGUUCUGUGGAAUGCACAGAUUCACGACUAACACUAUGGCAAGGCAGUCUCUGACCGGCCUGAGCUGAGAGCGAACCAUGGGGAGCGAAUAGAUUCAUACCCUGGAGUCCUGCCUAACAUGGGACACGGUGGCCUCGUCCCGAGUACGUACGCAGCUACCAUAGUGCCCCCUGGGAGUACGUCCAAGGUAUAUCAAUGAUUGCGGGG
rnacentral:rRNA from 1 species